rnacentral:rRNA from 1 species
GAUGAACGCUGGCGGCGCGCCUAACACAUGCAAGUCGAACGAGUGGCGAACGGGUGAGUAACACGUGACCAACCCGCCCCCCCCACCGGGACAACCUCGGGAAACCGAGGCUAAUACCGGAUAGGAGGGGACGGGGUCGCGGCCCAUCAGGUAGACGGGGGGGCGAAGGCCCGCCGUGCCGACGACGGGUAGCCGGGCUGAGAGGCCGAUCGGCCACAUUGGGACUGAGAUACGGCCCAGACUCCUACGUGAGGCAGCAGUGGGGGAUAUUGCACAAUGGGCGAAAGCCUGAUGCAGCGACGCCGCGUGGGGGAUGAAGGCUUUCGGGUUGUAAACCUCUUUCGCUAUCGAACGGGUAGGUGGAGAAGAAGCGCCGGCUAACUACGUGCCAGCAGCCGCGGUAAUUC